GCGAAAUGCGAUACUUGGUGUGAAUUGCAGAAUCCCGUGAACCAUCGAGUCUUUGAACGCAAGUUGCGCCUGAAGCCGUCAGGCUGAGGGCACGUCUGCCUGGGCGUCACG
rnacentral:rRNA from 1 species